ensembl:lncRNA
UCCUUUUUGCACACACACGAAUACAAAGAGCCAUACGACCUUCGGGUAUCCUUUUUCCAUUUUUUUUUCUCCUUAAUCUUGUGUGUGUAUUCAAGUUUUUUAAAAAAUAGAGAUCUGUGGCAGUGCUGGGGCAACGUCGAAGGAAACAGAUUUGAGGCUCCCUCACAGAGCUGUUUGCGUGCGUUUUACACACCCUCUUCCAGAACCAAAACCAAGUGGCUUGAAUGUGGCAAUUGUCCAAGGCCAAUAGGUUAAAAAUGUUUGUAUUUUAUAAUUGUGACACUCAUUUCCCUGGGGGAGGGGUCAAAGCCCUUUUUACAAUGUGUCUUACCCACAUUUUUCAUGAAGACUGUGUGUGUGUGUGUGUGUGUGUGUGUGUGUGUGUUGAAGCAAAUAAGUUCGUAAAGAUUUAUCUUGGGGUUUUGUGCUUUCUGUAUAUGUACAGUGUGUAUAUGUGCCGUAUCAGAUUUUGUUUUUAAAAGCGACUGCCUUUGGCUUUAUGUGUGCAAAGCAGUCCCUAGGAUGUGGAUGUUUUUUUUUCCUGUUGUGUUCCCAAAUGUGAUCCAGACAGGAUUUCAUGCGCAAACUACAGCCUAGAAGAAAUCCUAUGCAUAGAAUUACUUAGGUACUUUGAUUCUACUUGCAUUUACUGUAUUUUCUCCUCUUCUAAAGUAUCAGCUUACUGAAUAAUUAAAUAAUUGCUAGGGAAUAUACAGUCCACGUGGCAAAUGAGGGUAAGCAAUUUAUUGACUCUGUGGUUUAAAGCCUUCUUUAGUGACUGUUUUGCCUAAGUGGUUUUGCUUUUUAUUGUCUCACGUUCCUAAAUGUACAGCUGUGUAUAUUUUGGCCUUUAUGUGUGGUUUGGUUGGUGUGUUCAGAAGGGAAGUUCUCUCUUGGCUUUUUGACAGAAAUGGUCGUUUAUAGGUUGGGAUUUGUUUGAAUAACUCCACAGCUGGCAAAAUAUCAGGAAAAUAAUCCAGUCAAGUCCAAUUCUCUAAAACCGGUCUUGAUGGUGAUGAUGGGGGAGGGGCCAAGAGGAGGCAAAGGCAAAUAAUACAUAGGAGGGAUAAGAAAUGCAUUUGGUUACCAUGUUGCGUUUUUUGGAAUGAAAAACGUUCUCCCUAAGAUAAGCGUCAUGGACAGAAGUGUAUAAAUUAGAGGGCAAGGCUCAGAGAAGUACAUCCAGUUACAGGAGCCAUUUUCUCCCUUAAUUCUGUUAUAGAACCACUGUCUCCUAUUAGGAGUCAUACGGAAAGCGUAUUCAAAUCUGUAUGGGCAGAUUGGAGUGAAAGGAUAGAAAAUAUACGGGGUGAUAAGGGAGAAACUAGAAUGUCACAAAUUAAAUAGUGACCACGAGAUAAAACAAGGAUCUACUGUAGAGUUCAAAUUUGAGGACAACAAAACCACUGUACAAUGAUAAUACAGUUCCAUCCCCCAGCUUGCGUCCCACUCAGUUUCAAGCUGUAUUUAGGACACCUAACAACGGCGAUAAAACUAUUUGUACAAGUCUUGACAUUCACUGUAAUGAAUGCAGACUGUGUGAGCUCUGGGUUUCUUAGCUGUACUGAGUGCAUUUCUAUUCCCUAACAAUACAAGUUAGAUCAGUCUCAAACGUGGAGCAGUCCACAAGUUUAGACCUGCAUAUCUGAAAUCUAGUCAGUCUUAAAGUAGCCUUUGUGAUGGCAGUAGUGCUGGAGUUAUUAAUGGAAUUUUGCUCUUAUUCUUUUCCCCCCUCAUUGUACGUCAUAACGUAUACUUUUUACCUUCUCGGAGAAGACAGCAUUUCCUACAAUGGUACACAGCCCAAGCCCUGUCUUCCUAGGUUAAUUGAUUUUUACUAGGAAUUUAGGCUCUUAGCCAGUAUUCUUGCUUUGAAUUUCUGGGUAAGAGAAUUCCUCCCACGAAUAUAUCGUUGGCUCGGCCCUCCUACCGAGGCAAAGCAAAGCUAAACUCGGAUGAUUUUGCUCUGCAAUUUGCAGGGCCCGUAGAGAUGAAAACUUACUUGAACUAAGGGCAACUGCUACCUUGCUAGUGUUAUCUGGAAAAUCUGUAGCUGAGGCCGGCAGGAACGAAAAGCCUUACACCACCAAAUGUAUGAGGCCGAUCUGUAGCCAAUGUACCUAUAAUCGUGUACACGCAGCUCUAUGAGCAGCAGGGAACAAAAGGGAGUAAACAAAAAAAAAAAAAAAAUCAAGCUAAAGAUGGCGUCUAGCGGCCUUGAAAACGCCUCGCAGUCGUGUCCCUCCCUAAAGAGGCCCCUCCCCUUCCUGACUUGUUGAGUGAUUGUGGAUUGCGGCCAGUAACGUCCCCGGCCUUGCUCCGCCCCAUCGCCCAACCGCCAAUCACCAGGAGUCCGGAGACUGGUGAGGCGGGGCCUCCCCGCGUGCGCGCGCUGGCAGGGUACACGAGCAGACCCCGCCUUCUUCCCUAGCAGUGAGCCGGGCGACUUAAAGCCGAGUCGGCUGGAGCGGCGCGAGGGGCACACGCGGUGGGACACCAGUAGGGCAGCUAAAGCUGGACCUCCUCGGGAAGUCCCCCGCCAUCCUCAGCUCUUUUUUGGCCCCAUGGCAGUUACCCGCGGUGAUCCAGCUAGAUCUCCUCGGGUCAGUCGGCUGUCUGCGGCGCUGUGAGGAACACCCCUUCCUCGAGACCCCCAGGGCACUCCGUCUAUCCGGGGGCUCAGUGACGGGUCGCCCUGUCCCCUCCGGCCCCAAGGGAAGAGCUCAGCUCUGUUCCCCCUUUGCGCUGCUGCGCUCGCCCUACCUGUAGUUGAAACACUCUUCGGAAAUGGUUCUGUUUUCCCUGGUGCCCAGUUUGUCAUCUUUGACUAAUAUUUAAUCAGAUAACAUUUACCAAGGGCUCGCUGGGCAUACGACGCAACUUUGGGAGCUAGGUUUUCAUUUUUCAGUUUCUCCGGAAAUGCAGGAAGAGCCGUUUCUGUCAGGUAUAUGGAUAUGAAAACCUUACACCGGUCAUUUUAAUCUCACCAAGUUGCAUUUUAGCAAAUGUAAAGAAAAGAGGCGGUUUAACACUGGGUUAAAAACUCUGGUACUGCUAUACAAAUGUACUUGAAAUUUUUGGAUUAUGUGAAAUCCUUUUCUUAACAUCUCACUCUGCCCUCUGGGUCCACAUCUCUUUUUUACCCCCAGAAAACAAGGUAUUAGAUUUUCUUUGUUGGUCUCUAUUUGGGUCAGUGUUUCAAAAUGUAGACAAAGACUAUUAAUGAUAUUUCCUUACCUGCUCUUGUGUGAUAAAGAGCACAUCUCUCAUACAAGUAGAUUUUUUUGAGAAGUUAGACGUUUUUUAGUGGAUGAGACAUUUUAUACCUUCAGGUCGAGGAGCAGGGCUGACUGGCACAGUAGGAGGUUUUAAGUGGCCAUUUUCCUUUUUAUUUCUUAAAAUGAAGAUUAUGGUAUGAAUUGCUAUGCUUUCAGUAAUCACAUUUAAGGAAGUCCAUUGCUGGCAUGACCCUGAGUGAGUCAAGGGCCCAUUAUAAAAACAUUUAUCUUCUGAGUGAUACCAUAGACUACACAUCUAUUAGAUAGUGAGGAAACUUUUAUUUUUCCUAGUUUGGAGGUGAACUCAGUCAUGCAGAAAAUUCAAACUCAGAAUGGGUUGAAGCAAGCAAGGGAGCUGCCAAGACUAUGAUAUAUUUAGUUCUAACAAAAAUACAUGUGACUUGGGAGGAAAUGGAUAGUUAAGAUUAUGGACAGCCUUACCCUGAACUGUCUGUCCAAAGAUGAGUUUUCAUUCUUUAUCCAAAUAUUUAUGAAAAAAUAUCAAAAGUAUUGAAAAGUACAUUUUCUAGGCUCCUUUCACAUUGUUAAAAUUAGACUGAUACUGAUGAACCCCAAACACAGAUUUUAUGCACACUUAAGUUUGACAGCUGCUGUCAUUUUGUGUUGGCAAGUCAUCAUAGGAUUGAAGAUCAUUUUCUUAACAUUCUAAUUCUAAAAGUUAACACAAUUUUGCAAAAGGCAUAUCUAUUCUUCAGUGAUGGUCAGUCUUAGUUCAUUCCUCUUUGUUGAACAAAAAUGCAAACUUGGUUUUAAAAUAAAUCAGCAAUCUGAAAUUGCAAAAGUUGACAGUAUUAAUGUUUAAUAAUAAUGGUAUAGACACUGCUUGGAUAAUUUAUUCCAAUUAACCAUUGCUUUGCCAAACAUUCCAUGGAUUGCUUCACAGGUUAUUGUAUUAAACAGUUAGACAUUUUGAGAGGUAAAAUAAAGAUUUCAGAAUAAAGUUUAGGUAUGUUAAUAACAUUAGCAGAGUUAAAGGGGCUCUGAAACUUUAGUUAUGGAAAAAAGCAAGAAUG